rnacentral:rRNA from 1 species
AGCGAACGCUGGCGGCAGGCCUAACACAUGCAAGUCGAACGGAUCCUUCGGGAUUAGUGGCGGACGGGUGAGUAACACGUGGGAACGUGCCCUUUGGUUCGGAACAACUCAGGGAAACUUGAGCUAAUACCGGAUGUGCCCUUCGGGGGAAAGAUUUAUCGCCAUUGGAGCGGCCCGCGUCUGAUUAGCUAGUUGGUGAGGUAACGGCCCACCAAGGCGACGAUCAGUAGCUGGUCUGAGAGGAUGCUCAGCCACACUGGGACUGAGACACGGCCCAGACUCCUACGGGAGGCAGCAGUGGGGAAUCUUGCGCAAUGGGCGAAAGCCUGACGCAGCCAUGCCGCGUGAAUGAUGAAGGUCUUAGGAUUGUAAAAUUCUUUCAGCGGGGACGAUAAUGACGGUACCCGCAGAAGAAGCUCCGGCUAACUUCGUG